rnacentral:rRNA from 1 species
CCUACGGGCGGCAGCAGUGAGGAAUAUUGGUCAAUGGCCGCAGGGCUGAACCAGCCAAGUAGCGUGCGGGAUGACGGUCCUAUGGAUUGUAAACCUCUUUUGUCAGGGGGCAAAAGGCGCCACGUGUGGCGCUUUGCGAGUACCGGAGGAAUAAGCCACGGCUAACUACGUGCCAGCAGCCGCGGUAAUACGUAUGUGGCAAGCGUUAUCCGGAUUUACUGGGUGUAAAGGGCGUGUAGGCGGGACUGCAAGUCAGAUGUGAAAUGCACGGGCUCAACCUGGGGCCUGCAUUUGAAACUGGAGUGCUUGAGGACUGGAGAGGCAGGCGGAAUUCCUAGUGUAGCGGUGAAAUGCGUAGAUAUCAGGAGGAACACCAGUGGCGAAGGCGGUCUGCGGGAGAGCAACUGACGCUGAGGCGCGAAAGCGUGGGGAGCAAACAGGAUUAGAUACCCGAGUAGUC